rnacentral:tRNA from 1 species
GGUAUAUUUAAUAAAGAGGGGCUUCUAACCUUUUCUUAAAGCAGAGAAACACUGUUUAUAUACUU